rnacentral:miRNA from 1 species
GUUGCCGGUUGCCAUAAACCCGUAGAUCCGAACUUGCGGUACGACUGCCUCACACAAGCUCGAGUCUGUGGGUAUGUGUCGAUCCUGGCCAGG